CUGCCCAUAGCUCAGUUGGAUAGAGCAUCAGCCUUCUAAGCUGAGGGUCACUGGUUCGAAUCCAGUUGGGCAGGCCA
rnacentral:tRNA from 1 species